rnacentral:rRNA from 1 species
GAUGAACGCUGGCGGCGUGCCUAAUACAUGCAAGUCGAGCGAACGGACGAGAAGCUUGCUUCUCUGAUGUUAGCGGCGGACGGGUGAGUAACACGUGGAUAACCUACCUAUAAGACUGGGAUAACUUCGGGAAACCGGAGCUAAUACCGGAUAAUAUUUUGAACCGCAUGGUUCAAAAGUGAAAGACGGUCUUGCUGUCACUUAUAGAUGGAUCCGCGCUGCAUUAGCUAGUUGGUAAGGUAACGGCUUACCAAGGCAACGAUGCGUAGCCGACCUGAGAGGGUGAUCGGCCACACUGGAACUGAGACACGGUCCAGACUCCUACGGGAGGCAGCAGUAGGGAAUCUUCCGCAAUGGGCGAAAGCCUGACGGAGCAACGCCGCGUGAGUGAUGAAGGUCUUCGGAUCGUAAAACUCUGUUAUUAGGGAAGAACAUAUGUGUAAGUAACUGUGCACAUCUUGACGGUACCUAAUCAGAAAGCCACGGCUAACUACGCG